UACGAAGGGUGCAAGCGUUACUCGGAAUUACUGGGCGUAAAGCGUGCGUAGGUGGUUUGUUAAGUCUGAUGUGAAAGCCCUGGGCUUAACCUGGGAACUGCAUUUGGGACUGUAAGGCUAGAGUGUGUCAGAGGGAGGUGGAAUUCCACGUGUAGCAGUGAAAUGCGUAGAUAUGUGGAGGAACAUCGAUGGCGAAGGCAGCCUCCUGGGAUAACACUGACGCUCAUGCACGAAAGCGUGGGGAGCAAACAGG
rnacentral:rRNA from 1 species